UGCAAGUCGAACGAUGAACCACUUCGGUGGGGAUUAGUGGCGAACGGGUGAGUAACACGUGGGCAAUCUGCCCUUCACUCUGGGACAAGCCCUGGAAACGGGGUCUAAUACCGGAUAACACUCCCUCCCUCCUGGGUGGGGGUUAAAAGCUCCGGCGGUGAAGGAUGAGCCCGCGGCCUAUCAGCUUGUUGGUGAGGUAAUGGCUCACCAAGGCGACGACGGGUAGCCGGCCUGAGAGGGCGACCGGCCACACUGGGACUGAGACACGGCCCAGACUCCUACGGGAGGCAGCAGUGGGGAAUAUUGCACAAUGGGCGAAAGCCUGAUGCAGCGACGCCGCGUGAGGGAUGACGGCCUUCGGGUUGUAAACCUCUUUCAGCAGGGAAGAAGCGAAAGUGACGGUACCUGCAGAAGAAGCGCCGGCUAACUACGUGCCAGCAGCCGCGGUAAUACGUAGGGCGCAAGCGUUGUCCGGAAUUAUUGGGCGUAAAGAGCUCGUAGGCGGCUUGUCACGUCGGGUGUGAAAGCCCGGGGCUUAACCCCGGGUCUGCAUUCGAUACGGGCUAGCUAGAGUGUGGUAGGGGAGAUCGGAAUUCCUGGUGUAGCGGUGAAAUGCGCAGAUAUCAGGAGGAACACCGGUGGCGAAGGCGGAUCUCUGGGCCAUUACUGACGCUGAGGAGCGAAAGCGUGGGGAGCGAACAGGAUUAGAUACCCUGGUAGUCCACGCCGUAAACGGUGGGAACUAGGUGUUGGCGACAUUCCACGUCGUCGGUGCCGCAGCUAACGCAUUAAGUUCCCCGCCUGGGGAGUACGGCCGCAAGGCUAAAACUCAAAGGAAUUGAC
rnacentral:rRNA from 3 species